CUGCGGAGGGAUAUAC
rnacentral:rRNA from 1 species